rnacentral:lncRNA from 1 species
ACCGAUUGGGAGCAGAGUCUCCCCCUCCCCCUCUCUCUCUCUUUGCCGUGGAGCUCAUCAGACGACAGAGAAGUAGACGCCCAUGGAUAGACUUCUUCAACCACCGUCUUCUUCCAUACUCGCCCCCUCCAAAUCCCAAUUAAGAGCACCUCCGUUGCUCCUCCGUGUCCACCGUCUCGACUCUCCCAGUCUUAUCCCUGCCUCCCCGCGCCGGGUGAGUUCCAUCUCCUGCCUCUUCCGCCACAAUCCUUCGCCGACUACGUCUCCAGGAUCGAAUCAAGCUAGAAACCUCUCGUCUUCCUCUCCGAAAGCCGACGAGUCAAAACCUAAUCCAGGGUUUCUCGAACAGAUCGUGCGGAGUUAUGAGCAGAGAAAGGUAUAUAAUCGUCACUAGCUAUGAAUCUUCUAGUCUAUAUCGAUGUCUUGUGAGCCUUAAUCAGUGGAUAUGUAUUCAGUCAAACAAGGGAGACAUAAACAAAACGAUCUUACAAAAGCAAAAACAACAAACAAAGGAUCUAAAGCAUUAUAGGCAAAAAGACCUAAGGAUACAAAACCGAAGCUGAAAGCACGAAACACACAUGAACCCUUCCAUAGAAGCAAUUUGUAGCUGGAGUUGAACCUAAGAACUAAGGAUCUGCGGAGUAUCCAAUCUAGAGGAAGUCAAAGCACGAUCCUAACAAGUAACAACACCGGCGAAGAGGAUCAUGUAAUAGAAACAAGCAACAACACCGAACUACUUACACCACGCUUACAUCAAGAAUCACCACCUGCAACAUAACACUGGCACAAGGUAAACCUUGAAACUCCAAUAGGGCAAAACGUCUAAGAGGAUCAAAGGUUCUUACACAUGGGCACUCAUGUACCCAGCUUAGCCCAUCUACAAGCACAAAGCUGGUCACGUCCUCGCAAGAGAAGAAACCAAAGAUCGAGACCACUGCAUCGUCCUUAAACCAAUCUCCCCAAACAGAGAAGAAGAUUGUAGAUGGCUCCACAGCAAACUCACAUCCGAGAGACGAAACCCCAAACCGAGACCAGACCAAAAGCGAAGAAGCAAGACUCGCGAAGACAUGGAGAAGUAGAGGUACCCAGAUCUAGAAGCGAUGAUUAGACCCAAUGCCACCAUGAUCCUUUGUUAAACCGUUGAAAAAGCACAUGCAUGAAGAGAAAACUUCAGAUCUGCCAUGGAUCUACAGACAUGCAAGCUCCUAAACGCCGACUCUUCUGCAAACAACCGACCUUUAAACCUCGCCCUCUUUCCAGAUCACGAUGCCUCCACCGAAUUCAAGAACCACCACCGGCUCAUAGAACCAGAGAAGCAUAGAAGCACCAGAAUUAAGACAUAUCGGCCCACAGAACCGGAGAAAGCAGAGAAGCAAACUGAAAACGAGAUAAUAAAAAAGAGAAACUCCGCCUACCGGCAAGGAACGCACGGCGGUAGAGGAGAACUUGCCUAGGUUUGAAAGUUCUAUGUAGAGAGCGUUUUUUUUUUCUCGUCUUCUCCCGAGACCUUGAAUCUACGUUUACAAAAGGAUAUCAUUCAAAUUAACAUUAUAUCUAAAAAGUUCAUUUAUCUUAACGAAACAAGAAAACUAUUUUACUAUUUUAUCUUUCUAUAGUUUACAUUCAAUAGAAAAGUAUGAUUUGUAUACCUCGUAAUUUUUUUUAAUUAAAUUGAUCUAAUAACUUUUCUAUAGAUGUAUAUGCUAUAGCUUUAUAUUUUCCCCAUGGCACAUAAAAUAUUGUUUUUUAAACAUGGUUUUACAACAAUUUAUAUUUUUUUUGGCUAUACUUUUAGAAAUUAACUUAAAACAUGAUUGAUAUUAUUAAAGUUGUAUAUAAAAGUUAAAGCUAAAUAAGGUUAUCUAUAACUCGACCAAUCACUAUUUUUAUGUUUCAGUAGUAUCACAAAAAAAAUCUAUUUUAUUUCACUCUAAUAUUUUUAAAAAAGCAAAUCAAAAUCUAAUAUAUUUUUAAAUUAAAAAAAAAUAAAAUAGAUUUUACUACAAAAAUAAAAUUAUCAAACUAUAUAAAAUAUAUUCAUAUAACAAGUAUAUGAUUAAUUAAACAUAUUAAAUAAUAUAAAUAUUAAAAUUUAAAUAAAAUACAUUAAAUUAUAUAUAUGGUAUAUUUGAGUUUACAAUUUAAGAUAAUCAGAUCAAUCUUAUUUCUAGAUAUUUUAUUCUAUAUAUUGAUAUAGAAUAAAAUAUUCUAUAUAUUGAUAUAGAAUAAAAUAUGAAAAAAAGAUAAAAAUAGCACUAAAUCAAGUUUAUGUUUCCAAACUAGCACUCAAGGUUAAAAGUCACAAAAAUAGCACUUAAUGUUUUAUCAAAAGUCACAAACUUAGGGUUUAGAGUUAAAGGGUGGGGUUUAGGAUUUAGGGUUUAGGGUUUAGAGUUUAGGGUUUAGAGUUGAGAAAUGAGGUUUUGGGGAUAAGAUUUCAAAUUUUGAAAAAUAAAAAAAUUAAAAUUUUCAAAGGAUAAACUUAGAAAUGUGUUAUUUUGGUCAUUUUAGUUUUUGAGUACUAUUUUUGUGAUAUAAAUUUAGAAAGAUGUUAUUUUGGAGAUUUGCCCAUAAAAUAUCUUAAGAUAAUCAGAUCAAUCUUAUUUCUAGAAAUUUUUUUCCAAAACCAGAGUUAUAAAAUUGGAAUUUCACCAUAUUUUGGCAACUACAAUUAGCAAAAAAAAUAUCUUUUAAAGAAAACAUAUAUCUUCUUGAAAGAAUUACAUUCUUUCCCAGAGAAAUCGUAGCUUAUACUUUUUCGAUAUUUUUCAUACUAAUAUAAUAUUUAUUUAUAUGCAGAGAAGCAGCAAAAUAACUUUUUAAAAAGUUUUAUCCUCACCGAUUGGGAGCAGAGUCUCCCCCUCCCCCUCUCUCUCUCUUUGCCGUGGAGCUCAUCAGACGACAGAGAAGUAGACGCCCAUGGAUAGACUUCUUCAACCACCGUCUUCUUCCAUACUCGCCCCCUCCAAAUCCCAAUUAAGAGCACCUCCGUUGCUCCUCCGUGUCCACCGUCUCGACUCUCCCAGUCUUAUCCCUGCCUCCCCGCGCCGGGUGAGUUCCAUCUCCUGCCUCUUCCGCCACAAUCCUUCGCCGACUACGUCUCCAGGAUCGAAUCAAGCUAGAAACCUCUCGUCUUCCUCUCCGAAAGCCGACGAGUCAAAACCUAAUCCAGGGUUUCUCGAACAGAUCGUGCGGAGUUAUGAGCAGAGAAAGGUAUAUAAUCGUCACUAGCUAUGAAUCUUCUAGUCUAUAUCGAUGUCUUGUGAG